UUUAAUAUUUGAAUAUCCUUACCACCCGCACACCUGCGCCAGACUGCCAGCCUAAUAUAGAUGCCCUUGCUAGAUUUGUGUUGUGAGCGAUCUAUCAAGGGUUGUGAUCUGCUUUGUAUUUAUUGAUGCACCCUUUGCUUGCAGCAGCGUGCGUUGUUUGCGACGAAGAGACAUCAGCCAGAGAUUCCCUUGCUAAGCUUAUCCUCUUGACCCCCCCUACUUCUUAUAUCUAUAGUAUCUGUUUUAACUGUUGAAUAAAAUAUUUCACAGUGGCAAGCUAAGUCAGCUCCCGUGGCUGAUAAAAGCAAUCCUGUGAACCCAGGUCUUCCAGAGCGGAAAGCGGCUAAUCCCUAAUCCCUGAUAUACCCCCGAUAUGCAAAAUAAAAGAUUAACGGGACAUAGUAAUAAGCAACUUUCCCGCGGCUACAAGUUAUCAAACCGGAAGCCCAAUUUUAAAAUAUCAUAAAUAGUGCAUUUAGCCAUCCUAAGAAGAUGUUAUAUGGCUAAAGGUAUGACAUCGGAGACCUAGGGAAGCGAUAUCACUUCCAUUCGAAACAUUUCCCCCUAUCCUUCGGACAUAUCCUGUACCAGUCUGAGUUCCCUUUGAAUCAUCCCCUCAUAGGAGGGAGGUGACAUCAAAUUGCCAGAGCCAGCCUUUGCAGAAGGAAUAAAAUAUCACGCAGUACGAUCUCUGCACACGAGCCACACUACCGGGAACAUAUUUGCUAAUUUGCACUCUACAUAAUCAUGAUACUAUCGCUUGUCAAAAUCAUAGUAUUUAAAUAAAACCCCCUGGAUCUUUGUACUCGCUCGCUGGCUGCUACGACUGUGUGAGGAACCCUUUAUUUAUCCACACACGAACUGGA
rnacentral:sRNA from 2 species